GUCCAGGAAAAAUUUGGGACAAAGUGAUCGAUCUUAAUUUCUAGACUUCAUUCUGUCUUCUGUUCUUGACAGAUCUUGCUGUGUUGCUCAGCUGAAGUAUGGUGUUGUGAUCAAAACUCACUGCAGCCUGGAACUCCUGGGCUCAAGACAUCCUCCUGCCUUGGCUCCCGAGUAGCUGGGACCACAGGUGCAAGCCUCUGCACUGCAGUGCUCCUCUGCAGCAACCUCAGAACAGUGGCCCACACUCCUAGAAUUUGAGAAAAUGGCAUCUUCUUCAGAGGACAGAGGU